rnacentral:rRNA from 1 species
AACGGUGGAUGUCUAGGUUCCUACAACGAUGAAGAACGCAGCGAAGUGCGAUAAGCAUUGCGAAUUGCAGAACCGUGAGUCAUCAGAUUUUUGAACGCAACUGGCGCC